UCUGGUGCAGCCCCCUGUUGAGCCAGACCGACAUGCAGUUGCACAUGAUGACGAAACAGUGACAGCUGCUACAGAGGAGGCCGCAACAGAGCCACACUAUGAGAGUGAUGCUGGAAAUGAAGAGGAAGAGGGUCCAGCCACUCCUACAACGAACCUUUCCACAGUGGGUUGUUCAG